GUGAUUCAAAUGAGGCUGUUUAAUCGCACCCUAACCAUUCCUCUGGUCACAGUGAUGGGCAUCUGAUACAGGCCUGGCCAAUCAUGACACCCAUCUUCUUAAAAUUAGGGAUUACACCCUGCUUGCUCCCCCAGGGACUAAACUAACUCCUUCUUUGGAUACAUGGAUGCUAAGAGAAAGACCGAGUCUCUCCCUGUGGGGUUUCUAAGCUGGGAUGGUAGAAACCCUGAGAUGCUGACACUCACCUUCUCCCGGAGAAGAAAUGGCUGGCACACAGAAAAACAAACCAUGGAAUGGAAAAAUGAUACUGUUUGAUCCUCUAGAUCUACCCAUACUGAAGCUAAUUCCCUUUUUGUCUAACCUAAUUUGAACUGGGUUUCUUUAACUUGGAACUGAAAGAUAAUUAGUAAACUGAAUAUACCUUUAAUACAAGGCAGUACAGCCUAUAAGCCAAAUGCAAGGCCAGGAGCAGGGACUCACACCUAUAAUCCCAGCACUUUGGGAGGCUAAGGCAGGAGGUUUGUUUGAGCCCAAGUGUUUGAGGCCAGCAUGUGCAACAUGAUAAGACCCUGUCU